CCGCCAUGCCCCUCCGUGAACCCAGGGCCCCACCCCAUCCGGGGCAGCCCAGACUCAAGCCUACAGUCGUGGGGGUGGCGGCUACAGGGCCAGACAGGACCUGGCUGGCCCCACGCCUCACCUGGCCCGGCCUCCUCCUCCAGGAAGCCUCCUGCCCCCAGCCUGCUCUGGGCCUCCUCCGUGUGCAGGAUCGCACAGGCCUGGGUCCCCAGAAUCACACACGCAGCAGGUGAUCAGGAUGGGCAGAGCAAGAAGCCCAGACAGCCCUUGCCCAGCCUGCCAGCCCCGGGCUGGGCCUCUGGGACCCUCCGGGGCCCAGGGCAGGGGCAGGAGGGAGCCCGGGGGAGUGUGGGCACCUACCUGGCCAGACCGAGGCCCAGCUCAGAGAAAGACCUCCCCGAACACCGUGAGUGCUGGCCCGGCGACCUUGGAGGCCUGCAGCGGGCGGGCCCCAGCAGAGCCGGUGAGCAUGCCCACAGCUCAGGGUGCCGAGCUGGCCGCCCAGCCCGGGCCCCCAGGUUGCCGGCUCUGAGGCGGCUGAGAGGAGCCAGGAGGCCCCGCCAACACAAACAGGCCUGCGGAGCCGCCUUCCUGCUGCUGCUUCAGCCCCCGACCUCGGGGGAGGGGCACGCAAGCACCCAGGCCCACAGGCCUUCCCCCCACUGGCCUGGAAGACACUGCCUCCAGGAGAGGGGUCCCCAUGGAAGAGGCCACCCAGGGGCCUCCAGCACUUCCCCGGGCCCAGUGAGGCCAACCCCGAGGACAGGGGCUCCCCUCAGGACCCUCCCGCCACCCCGGGACCUGGGAGCUCUCUUCCCCACCUGGACACCGACACUCCAGCCCGCCCCCUGUACACCAGUGCUCUCUGGGAGCCCCAUGCAUGGCCGAGCGGGCCAUCCUCAAGGGCCCUGCCUGUCCACAGGGUCACUAGGUUGCACAGCUGGUCUGCAAACACCGCCCAGUACCCCAGCCCCCGGGGCCCAGAGGGUCACCGCGGGUGCAGCAGGUGGGCGACCCCGUCAAACCCCGACGAGGCAUCCACGCACCCCGCUCACCACGCCGCCCCCCACGUGUGAGCACAGCUUACCCAGAGCCGCCAGAGCUUGGGCGCUCGGGGCUGCGCUGGGACCCUCGCCCCCUCCCCCUUACAGAAGGGGAGGCGGACGCUGUGGUCCAGGACGGGGCGCAGGGUCAGCUGCCUCCUGGGCGGCUCCGUCUCUUAGGUGGCGUUUCCAGGACAACACCCGGGCCACAGGGUCUCAGUGGCUGAAGCUCGGAUCGCGGGUUUCCCCUUGUCCCCCCCUGCCCUGA
rnacentral:lncRNA from 1 species